GCACCCUUAGCUCAUUCGGUAGAGCGGCUGACUCUUAAUCAGCAAGUGCAGGGUUCAAAUCCCUGAGGGUGCA
rnacentral:tRNA from 1 species